rnacentral:rRNA from 1 species
CCUACGGGAGGCUGCAGUGAGGAAUCUUGGUCAAUGGCCGUAAGGCUGAACCAGCCAAGUCGCGUGAAUGAAGAAGGAUCUAUGGUUUUUAAACUUCUUUUAUAGGGGAAUAAAGGUAUCCACGUGUGUAUAUUUGCAUGUACCCUAUGAAUAAGCAUCGGCUAACUCCGUGCCAGCAGCCGCGGUAAUACGGAGGAUACGAGCGUUAUCCGGAUUUAUUGGGUUUAAAGGGUGCGUAGGUUGUUUUUUAAGUCAGCGGUGAAAGUUUUUGGCUCAACCAUAAAAUUGCAGUUGAAACUGGAAGACUUGAGUGUGUUUGAGGUAGGUGGAACGCGAGGUGUAGCGGUGAAAUGCAUAGAUAUAACGAAGAACUCCGAUUGCGAAGGCAGCUUACUAAGCCAUAACUGACACUGAAGCACGAAAGCGUGGGGAUCAAACAGGAUUAGAUACCCGUGUAGUC